UACGUAGGGUGCAAGCGUUGUCCGGAAUUAUUGGGCGUAAAGAGCUCGUAGGCGGUCUGUCACGUCGGCCGUGAAAACCUGGGGCUUAACUCUGGGCGUGCGGUCGAUACGGGCAUCACUAGAGUUCGGCAGGGGAGACUGGAAUUCCUGGUGUAGCGGUGAAAUGCGCAGAUAUCAGGAGGAACACCGGUGGCGAAGGCGGGUCUCUGGGCCGAUACUGACGCUGAGGAGCGAAAGCGUGGGGAGCAAACAGG
rnacentral:rRNA from 1 species